rnacentral:sRNA from 1 species
UUUGAUAUUCAUCACCACCCUAAGAGGACACACAGCUGAUGGCAACCUCUUUCCCCUUUAAAACAUCAGGAUCUGGUCCGCAGUCAGCCUCUCUCCAGUUUGUCUUCCCAGGAUAUUUGCUCUUACAUUCAGUAUUCUGUAUAACAAUCUAUGGCCAGUUUGCAGGCUUAUUUUAUUGCUUGCUUUUAGGAUUAUGUGUGUGAUGUGCCUUAGUGAGGGGACUUUUCUUUUCCUUUGUGUGAAUUUUUGUUUUCCUGUUCUUUGUCAUCUCUGAAGCACUCUCCUUCCACAUGGACCACAGGAGGAAAAGAGCCGCAAAUGCACCCCUGAGGCAGUCCUCAGCAGCCCUCAGUUGUGGGGGCAAUCGGCACCACUGUUCCCAUCCUGACGCAGUAUAGAACCACAGGCAUCGUAGUCAGCAUUUUUUUGAGAUAACUGAUGACCAAUUCGACUUCCAUACAUACUGCAUGAGAAAGAUGACCCUUCGUGCCUAUGUUGACCUUUUGAGAUUAGAAGAUAUACUCAGAAGACAUGCCUUUUAUUUCAAGGCUGCUAGAUCAGCGAUUGAAAUAUACUUGAAAUUGUAUGAUAAUCCCUUAACCAGUGAAAGCAAACAACAAGAAAUAAACUCAGAAAACUUGUCAGCCAAAGAAUUGAAGAAAAUGCUUAGCAAGCAGAGAAGAGCUCAGAAAAAGGCUAAACUAGAAGAAGAAAGAAAGCAUGCAGAAAGAGAACGUCAACAGAAAAAUCAAAAGAAAAAAAGAGAUGAAGAAGAAGAAGAAGCCAGUGGCCUUAAGGAAGAACUUAUACCUGAAAAAUUAGAAAGGGUAGAAAAUCCAUUAGAGGAAGCCGUUAAGUUCCUUAUACCUCUUAAGAACCUUGUUGCUGAUAACAUUGACACUCAUCUGUUAGCAUUUGAAAUAUAUUUUAGAAAAGGAAAGUUUCUGUUAAUGCUGCAGUCUGUCAAACGAGCUUUUGCUAUUAACAGUAAUAACCCAUGGUUACAUGAAUGUUUAAUUAGAUUUUCUAAAUCUGUGUCUAAUCAUAGUAAUCUUCCAGACAUUGUGAGCAAAGUUCUAUCUCAAGAAAUGCAGAAAAUAUUUGUCAAAAAGGAUUUGGAGAGUUUUAAUGAGGAUUUUCUGAAACGUAACGCUACCUCUCUUCAGCAUCUACUUUCAGGUGCUAAAAUGAUGUAUUUUCUGGACAAGUCAAGGCAGGAGAAAGCAAUUGCUAUAGCCACUAGACUAGAUGAAACUAUAAAAGAUAAAGAUGUAAAGACAUUAAUAAAGGUUUCUGAAGCACUGCUUGAUGGCAGCUUUGGGAACUGUAGUUCCCAAUAUGAAGAAUAUAGGAUGGCCUGUCAUAACCUGCUUCCUUUUACAUCUGCCUUCUUGCCUGCUGUGAAUGAAGUCGACAAUCCUAUUGUGGCACUGAACCAUACAGCUAAUUAUGAUGUCUUGGCAAAUGAAAUUUGAAAUCUUCUAGAAAGUAGACUCCUAUAGACUCAAAGCUGAAUUGAGAUCAGGGUUUCUUUUCCAGGGUGCAUUUUAAUAUACGUAUGAAAUGAAAUAUUUGGUUAGGAUUUUUAAAUGGCAUAUUCUGUAAGCUUAUUUUGUUCUUUACCCGACCUGCCAAUUUACAUAACCAUCUGUUAAAAUUACCUGUUUAUUCUUAAACAGUUUUGUGGUAGCUCCGAUCGCUUAUGAUAAUUUCUUACUAAGCUAAGUUGUAUACAACCCCACUGUAUUAUUUUCUUUAGAUUCUGAUUUCAGGAUCUGUGCUUUGAUUCCUUGUCUGUUUUAUCGUAUAUUUGCUUGCUUUUUAAUUAAAGCACAUCAGUUUUAAAGUGUUAACUAUAUGUUAAAAACAAUAUGGAGGCUGGGCGUGGUGGCUCACACCUGUAAUCCCAGCACUUUGGGAGGCCCAGACUGGCGGAUCACCUGAGGUCAGGAGAUCGAGAUCAGCCUGGCCAACGUGGUGAAACCCCUUCUCUACUGAAAAUACAAAAAUUAGCCAGACGUGAUGGCACGCACCUGUAAUCCCAGCUGCCCAGGAGCUGAGGCCGGAGAAUCGCUUGAACCUGGGAGGUGGAGGUUGCAGUGAGCCGAGAUCAUGCCACUGCACUCCAGCCUGGGCAACAGAGCAAGACUCUAUCUCGAAAAAAAGGAAUUCCUCUUGGCAGAUAUUGAAGUUUAUUUGAAAAUUUAAUUCGUCCUUUUUUCAUUGUAAUAUUUCAUGGUUUAUUAUUUCCUUUGUUGUAUUCAUGAAAAUGGUAUUUUCUGGUUGAAUAAGGGUACUCUAGUUUUAUGUAGAUGAAUUCAGAAUGUGAAGGCUGGUUUGCCUGUCAGUCAUGGAAAUUCACCGGUAAAAUUGUUGCAUAUUUCUCUCUCCCAGUCUUAAAAGCCCACAGGCAAGAAUUAAUGCUUUCUUAACUAAGUUACUUCGAGUGUUAACAAGUAGCUUAUACUGAGGUGUGCUUCAAGGGAGCAUUAUAGGGCAGAAAACAAAUUAAAAUGAAACGUUAUUAUAGCCAUGCAUUGACCAUUAAAUGCAUUUUUAUAUCUCGGCAAAAUGAAAUUUGAAACUCAUUAGUUUAACUCUUAAAACAUAGUGUUGUUAAACAGUAUUUUUGGGGGCGGGUGGAUAGCUUUUUGUUUUAUCUUGUACAGAAAACAGUAAUGGAAUCACUCAUGUUCAGAACCUUGUAAAUAUGUCUGUAAUAUUAAUGCUUCCCUUUAUUAAGACAAAUAUACAUUCAAAAAGGGAGAUUUUAUUUAGACACACAUUUUCUUUUCACCCUAAUCUAUUUAGAUUCAUACUUAUUGAGACGGGAAAAACUCACUGUAAAAUAAUGCCAACCUAGAUAAUGCUAUAAUAAAUUAUUUUGUACACAGUU